rnacentral:rRNA from 1 species
UACGUAUGGAGCAAGCGUUAUCCGGAUUUACUGGGUGUAAAGGGAGUGUAGGUGGCUAGGCAAGUCAGAAGUGAAAGCCCGGGGCUCAACCCCGGGACUGCUUUUGAAACUGCAGGGCUAGAGUGCAGGAGGGGCAAGUGGAAUUCCUAGUGUAGCGGUGAAAUGCGUAGAUAUUAGGAGGAACACCAGUGGCGAAGGCGGCUUGCUGGACUGUAACUGACACUGAGGCUCGAAAGCGUGGGGAGCAAACAGG